GAUAUGUGAAUACAUAGCAUAUCAGAAGGCACACCCGGAGAACUGAAACAUCUUAGUACCCGGAGGAAGAGAAAGAAAAUUCGAUUCCCUUAGUAGCGGCGAGCGAAACGGGAAGAGCCCAAACCAACAAGCUUGCUUGUUGGGGUUGUAGGACACUCUAUACGGAGUUACAAAGGACGACAUUAGACGAAUCAUCUGGAAAGAUGAAUCAAAGAAGGUAAUAAUCCUGUAGUCGAAAAUGUUGUCUCUCUUGAGUGGAUCCUGAGUACGACGGAGCACGUGAAAUUCCGUCGGAAUCUGGGAGGACCAUCUCCUAAGGCUAAAUACUCUCUAGUGACCGAUAGUGAACCAGUACCGUGAGGGAAAGGUGAAAAGCACCCCGGAAGGGGAGUGAAAUAGAACCUGAAACCGUGUGCUUACAAGUAGUCAGAGCCCGUUAAUGGGUGAUGGCGUGCCUUUUGUAGAAUGAACCGGCGAGUUACGAUUUGAUGCAAGGUUAAGCAGUAAAUGUGGAGCCGUAGCGAAAGCGAGUCUGAAUAGGGCGUUUAGUAUUUGGUCGUAGACCCGAAACCAGGUGAUCUACCCUUGGUCAGGUUGAAGUUCAGGUAACACUGAAUGGAGGACCGAACCGACUUACGUUGAAAAGUGAGCGGAUGAACUGAGGGUAGCGGAGAAAUUCCAAUCGAACCUGGAGAUAGCUGGUUCUCUCCGAAAUAGCUUUAGGGCUAGCCUCAAGUGAUGAUUAUUGGAGGUAGAGCACUGUUUGGACGAGGGGCCCCUCUCGGGUUACCGAAUUCAGACAAACUCCGAAUGCCAAUUAAUUUAACUUGGGAGUCAGAACAUGGGUGAUAAGGUCCGUGUUCGAAAGGGAAACAGCCCAGACCACCAGCUAAGGUCCCAAAAUAUAUGUUAAGUGGAAAAGGAUGUGGCGUUGCCCAGACAACUAGGAUGUUGGCUUAGAAGCAGCCAUCAUUUAAAGAGUGCGUAAUAGCUCACUAGUCGAGUGACACUGCGCCGAAAAUGUACCGGGGCUAAACAUAUUACCGAAGCUGUGGAUUGUCCUUUGGACAAUGGUAGGAGAGCGUUCUAAGGGCGUUGAAGCAUGAUCGUAAGGACAUGUGGAGCGCUUAGAAGUGAGAAUGCCGGUGUGAGUAGCGAAAGACGGGUGAGAAUCCCGUCCACCGAUUGACUAAGGUUUCCAGAGGAAGGCUCGUCCGCUCUGGGUUAGUCGGGUCCUAAGCUGAGGCCGACAGGCGUAGGCGAUGGAUAACAGGUUGAUAUUCCUGUACCACCUAUAAUCGUUUUAAUCGA
rnacentral:rRNA from 1 species